ACACAUGCAAGUCGAACGCUGAAGCCUGGUGCUUGCACCGGGUGGAUGAGUGGCGAACGGGUGAGUAACACGUGAGUAACCUGCCCCUGACUUCGGGAUAAGCCCGGGAAACUGGGUCUAAUACCGGAUACGACUGCCGGACGCAUGUCUGGUGGUGGAAAGUUUUUUCGGUUGGGGAUGGGCUCGCGGCCUAUCAGUUUGUUGGUGAGGUAAUGGCUCACCAAGACGACGACGGGUAGCCGGCCUGAGAGGGCGACCGGCCACACUGGGACUGAGACACGGCCCAGACUCCUACGGGAGGCAGCAGUGGGGAAUAUUGCACAAUGGGGGAAACCCUGAUGCAGCGACGCAGCGUGCGGGAUGACGGCCUUCGGGUUGUAAACCGCUUUCAGCAGGGAAGAAGCGCAAGUGACGGUACCUGCAGAAGAAGUACCGGCUAACUACGUGCCAGCAGCCGCGGUAAUACGUAGGGUACGAGCGUUGUCCGGAAUUAUUGGGCGUAAAGAGCUCGUAGGUGGUUGGUCACGUCUGCUGUGGAAACGCAACGCUUAACGUUGCGCGUGCAGUGGGUACGGGCUGACUAGAGUGCAGUAGGGGAGUCUGGAAUUCCUGGUGUAGCGGUGAAAUGCGCAGAUAUCAGGAGGAACACCGGUGGCGAAGGCGGGACUCUGGGCUGUAACUGACACUGAGGAGCGAAAGCAUGGGGAGCGAACAGGAUUAGAUACCCUGGUAGUCCAUGCCGUAAACGUUGGGCACUAGGUGUGGGGGGCAUUCCACGUUCUCCGCGCCGUAGCUAACGCAUUAAGUGCCCCGCCUGGGGAGUACGGUCGCAAGGCUAAAACUCAAAGGAAUUGACGGGGGCCCGCACAAGCGGCGGAGCAUGCGGAUUAAUUCGAUGCAACGCGAAGAACCUUACCAAGGCUUGACAUACACCGGACCGUCCUGGAAACAGGUCCUCUUCUUUGAAGCUGGUGUACAGGUGGUGCAUGGUUGUCGUCAGCUCGUGUCGUGAGAUGUUGGGUUAAGUCCCGCAACGAGCGCAACCCUCGUUCUAUGUUGCCAGCACGUGAUGGUGGGAACUCAUAGGAGACUGCCGGGGUCAACUCGGAGGAAGGUGGGGAUGACGUCAAAUCAUCAUGCCCUUUAUGUCUUGGGCUUCACGCAUGCUACAAUGGCUGGUACAGAGAGAGGCGAACCCGUGAGGGCAAGCGAAUCCCUUAAAGCCAGUCUCAGUUCGGAUCGUAGUCUGCAAUUCGACUACGUGAAGUCGGAGUCGCUAGUAAUCGCAGAUCAGCAACGCUGCGGUGAAUACGUUCCCGGGCCUUGUACACACCGCCCGUCAAGUCACGAAAGUCGGUAACACCCGAAGCCGGUGGCCUAACCCCUUGUGGGAGGGGGCCGUCUAAGGUGGGACUGGUGAUUGGGACUAAGUCGUAAGGUAACCGUAAA
rnacentral:rRNA from 1 species